AAUCAACGCUGGCGGCGUGCCUCAGACAUGCAAGUCGAACGAUUAAAGCUCUCUUCGGAGAGUGUAUAGAGUGGCGCACGGGUGAGUAACACGUAAGUAAUCUACCUUCGAGUGGGAAGUAACCCGGGGAAACCCGACGCUAAUACCGCAUAAUGCAGCGGCAUCUAAUGAUGACAGUUGUUAAAGUAUUUUAUUCGCUUGAAGAGGAGCUUGCGGCAGAUUAGCUAGUUGGUAAGGUAAUAGGCUUACCAAGGCUACGAUCUGUAACCGGUCUAAGAGGACGGUCGGUCACACUGACACUGAAUAACGGGUCAGACUCCUA
rnacentral:rRNA from 1 species